UCUACAUGGGAUUACCGUGGUAAUUCUAGAGCUAAUACAUGCAAAAAAACCUGACUUUAUGGAAGGGUUGUAUUUAUUAGAUAUCAAGCCAAUGUCCCUCGGGUCAUUGUGGUGAUUCAUAGUAACUGAUCGAACCCCUUUUUGGGGUAAAUCAUUCAAGUUUCUGCCCUAUCAGCUUUCGAUGGUAGUGUAUUGGACUACCAUGGCAGUUACGGGUAACGGAGAAUUAGGGUUCGAUUCCGGAGAGGGAUCCUGAAAAAUGGCUACCACUUCUAAGGAAGGCAGCAGGUGCGUAAAUUACCCAAUCCUGAUUCAGGGAGGUAGUGACAAGAAAUAACAAACUGGAAGACUUUGUCUUCACAGGCUUGUAGUGAGAACAAUUUAAAUACUUUAUCAAGUUCCAUUGGAGGGCAAGUCUGGUGCCAGCAGCCGCGGUAAUUCCAGCUCCAAUAGCGUAUAUUAAAGUUGUUGCAGUUAAAAAGCUCGUAGUUGAAUUUCUACUUAAUCUCAGUAUUGGCUCCUGUCAAACUGUGGGUUGAGUAUCCGCUUACAAGCUUAGCCCGGUCUUCGUUGAUCGACUAGGUGAGUAGGCCCUUUACUUUGAAAAAAUUAGAGUGUUUCAAGCAAGCAAUGGCUCGAAUACAUUAGCAUGGAAUAAUGGAAUAGGACUUUUGUCCAUUUUGUUGGUUAUUGGAUAGAAGUAAUGAUUAACAGGGACAGUUGGGGGCAUUAGUACUUAACAGUCAGAGGUGAAAUUCUUGGAUUUGUUAAAGACUAACUUAUGCGAAAGCAUUUGCCAAGGAUGUUUUCAUUAAUCAAGAACGAAAGUUAGGGGAUCAAAGACGAUCAGAUACCGUCCUAGUCUUAACUAUAAACUAUACCGACUCGGAAUCGGGCAGGCCAUUUUAACUUGCUCGGCGCCG
rnacentral:rRNA from 1 species